UACGUCGGGUGCAAGCGUUAAUCGGAAUUACUGGGCGUAAAGCGUGCGCAGGCGGUUUUGUAAGUCUGUCGUGAAAUCCCCGGGCUCAACCUGGGAAUUGCGAUGGAGACUGCAAGGCUAGAAUCUGGCAGAGGGGGGUAGAAUUCCACGUGUAGCAGUGAAAUGCGUAGAGAUGUGGAGGAACACCGAUGGCGAAGGCAGCCCCCUGGGUCAAGAUUGACGCUCAUGCACGAAAGCGUGGGGAGCAAACAGG
rnacentral:rRNA from 1 species